GGACCCGCACAAGCGGUGGAGCAUGUGGUUUAAUUCGACGAUAAGCGAGGAACCUCACCAAGGUUUGACAUCUAGCUGCAGACUCCUGGAAACAGGAGAGCCUUCGAGGGUGCUAGACAGGUGCUGCAUGGUUGUCGUCAGCUCGUGUCGUGAGAUGUACCGUUAAGUCGGGAAACGAGCGCAACCCCUAUCCUAUGUUUCAAGUGUCAUAGGAAACUGCCCGCUUUAAGUGGGAGGAAGGUGGGGAUGACGUCAAAUCAGCAUGGUCCUUACACCUUGGGCGACACACGUGCUACAAUGGAAAGCACAGAGGGACGCCAAGUGGUAACACGGAGCAAAUCCCUAAAACUUUUCUCAGUUCGGAUUGAGGUCUGCAACUCGACCUCAUGAAGCUGGAAUCGCUAGUAAACGCGUAUCAGCCAUGACGCGUUGAAUACGUUCUCGGGUCUU
rnacentral:rRNA from 1 species